GGGUUGUGAGGUUAAGCGACUAAGCGUACACGGUGGAUGCCCUGGCAGUCAGAGGCGAUGAAGGACGUGCUAAUCUGCGAUAAGCGUCGGUAAGGUGAUAUGAACCGUUAUAACCGGCGAUUUCCGAAUGGGGAAACCCAGUGUGUUUCGACACACUAUCAUUAACUGAAUCCAUAGGUUAAUGAGGCGAACCGGGGGAACUGAAACAUCUAAGUACCCCGAGGAAAAGAAAUCAACCGAGAUUCCCCCAGUAGCGGCGAGCGAACGGGGAGGAGCCCAGAGCCUGAAUCAGUGUGUGUGUUAGUGGAAGCGUCUGGAAAGGCGCGCGAUACAGGGUGACAGCCCCGUACACAAAAAUGCACAUACUGUGAGCUCGAUGAGUAGGGCGGGACACGUGGUAUCCUGUCUGAAUAUGGGGGGACCAUCCUCCAAGGCUAAAUACUCCUGACUGAC
rnacentral:rRNA from 1 species